rnacentral:rRNA from 1 species
UACGAAGGGGGCUAGCGUUGCUCGGAAUCACUGGGCGUAAAGCGUGCGUAGGCGGUUUGUUAAGUCUGUUGUGAAAUCCCCGGGCUCAACCUGGGAAUGGCAAUGGAUACUGGCAAGCUAGAGUGUGAUAGAGGAUGGUGGAAUUCCCGGUGUAGCGGUGAAAUGCGUAGAGAUCGGGAGGAACAUCAGUGGCGAAAGGCGGCCAUCUGGAUCAACACUGACGCUGAGGCACGAAAAGCGUGGGGAGCAAACAGG